rnacentral:miRNA from 1 species
ACAAUGAAAAAUGAAAGUGCGCUGUGCCUUUAAGACUUUUGAGUCCUAAAGGCACAGCGCACUUUAAUUUUUCAUUGUUACCUAAUAAC